AGAGUUUGAUCAUGGCUCAGAAUGAACGCUGGCGGCACGCUUAACACAUGCAAGUCGAACGAGAUCUUCGGAUCUAGUGGCAGACGGGUGCGUAACGCGUGGGAACCUGCCCUUUAGUAAGGAAUAACUCAGGGAAACUUGUGCUAAUACCUUAUAAUCCCUUCGGGGGAAAGCUUUAUGCGCUAAUGGAUGGGCCCGCGUUAGAUUAGCUUGUUGGUGAGGUAAUGGCUCACCAAGGCGACGAUCUAUAGCUGGUCUGAGAGGAUGAUCAGCCACACUGGGACUGAGACACGGCCCAGACUCCUACGGGAGGCAGCAGUGGGGAAUAUUGGACAAUGGGGGCAACCCUGAUCCAGCGAUGCCGCGUGAGUGAUGAAGGCCCUAGGGUUGUAAAACUCUUUCGCCAGGGAAGAUAAUGACGGUACCUGGUAAAGAAGAUCCGGCUAACUCCGUGCCAGCAGCCGCGGUAAUACGGAGGGAUCUAGCGUUAUUCGGAAUAACUGGGCGUAAAGCGAGCGUAGGCGGAUUUGUAAGUUGGAGGUGAAAUCCCAGGGCUUAACCCUGGAACUGCCUUCAAAACUACAUUUCUUGAGUUUGGUAGAGGAGAGUGGAAUUCCUAGUGUAGAGGUGAAAUUCGUAGAUAUUAGGAGGAACACCAGUGGCGAAGGCGACUCUCUGGGCCAAUACUGACGCUGAGGUUCGAAAGCGUGGGGAGCGAACGGGAUUAGAUACCCCGGUAGUCCACGCAGUAAACGAUGAGUGCUAGAUGUUGGGAACAUUAGUUUUCAGUAUCGCAGCUAACGCGUUAAGCACUCCGCCUGGGAAGUACGGCCGCAAGGCUAAAACUCAAAUGAAUUGACGGGGACCCGCACAAGCGGUGGAUCAUGUGGUUUAAUUCGAAGCAACGCGAAGAACCUUACCGGCUCUUGACAUACCAAUCGCGGAUCUAAGAGAUUAGAUCCUUCACUUCGGGUGGAUUGGAUACAGGUGCUGCAUGGCUGUCGUCAGCUCGUGUCGUGAGAUGUUGGGUUAAGUCCC
rnacentral:rRNA from 1 species